AGAUCACCUGGAGCUGAAGUUAAGUUUAUUUUCCCUGUUGGGUAACUAUCUUACUCCAAGAGCAAGAAAAGUAAAUUCACUUGGCUGUCCCACAUCUCUAAGGAACCUGAUGCAUGAGUGGAGUAGAGAAGAGGCAGAGAGAAAAACUUCAGAGACCUACAGAUCAUCUGGCUGGCAGGCUGCUAUUUGGUUUUGAGGAUGGGCAUCUGUAUGUGAGACAGGUAAAUCUGGUAUGUGUUUCCAUUCUAA
rnacentral:lncRNA from 1 species